rnacentral:rRNA from 1 species
AGCAGCCGCGGUAAUUCCAGCUCCAAUAGCGUAUAUUAAAGUUGUUGCAGUUAAAAAGCUCGUAGUUGAAUUUCGGGAUCAAUUAAUUGGUCGUGCCUCUGGUACGUACUGAUUUUAUUGGUUUCUCCCUUCUGACGAACCAUGAUGUCAUUAAUUUGGUGUCGUGAAGAAUCAGGACUGUUACUUUGAAAAAAUUUAGAGUGUUUAAAGCAAGCUAACGCUUGAAUACAUUAGCAUGGAAUAAUGAAAUAGGACGUUUGAUCCUAUUUUGUUGGUUUCUAGGAUCGACGUAAUGAUUAAUAGGGAUAGUUGGGGGCAUUAGUAUUCAAUUGUCAGAGGUGAAAUUCUUGGAUUUAUUGAAGACUAACUACUGCGAAAGCAUUUGCCAAGGAUGUUUUCAUUAAUCAAGAACGAAAGUUAGGGGAUCGAAGACGAUCAGAUACCGUCGUAGUCUUAACCAUAAACUAUGCCGACUAGGGAUCGGAUGAUGUUAAUUUUUUAAUGACUCAUUCGGCGCCUU